AUGUCUGGGAAACUGCCUGAUGGAGGGGGAGUAACUACUGGAAACGGUAGCUAAUACCGCAUAACGUCGCAAGACCAAAGAGGGGGACCUUCGGGCCUCUUGCCAUCGGAUGUGCCCAGAUGGGAUUAGCUAGUAGGUGGGGUAACGGCUCACCUAGGCGACGAUCCCUAGCUGGUCUGAGAGGAUGACCAGCCACACUAGAACUGAGACACGGUCCAGACUCCUACGGGAGGCAGCAUG
rnacentral:rRNA from 1 species